CAGGUGGUCCAGGCCGGCAGGGCUGCCCUGAGCCUGCGCUGGGGACAGGACUCACCGUCGCGGCCGCUGGGCCAGACACCCCCGAGGGCCACGCUGUAGCCAGCCCGCCCUCGGUGGAGCUGCACUGGCGCCCCGGGCACUCAGGUGGCGGGGGGAGGACAGAAAGCCAGGUUUCCUGUGAGCGGAGCGCCCUCGCCCAUCACCCGCUCCCCCUGCUGCUGAGGCCAGCUCACCUUGAGGAUCUUGAUCUCCUUCCCCAGGAGAGUCUGCGACUUGGCCAGGGAACACGGAUUCAAACCCUGGUCCCGGAAGAUCCCAUAUGCGUCAGAGCAACUAAGCCCAUGCACCACAAGUACUGAGCCUGCACUCUAGAGCCCACGAGCCACAACUACUGAAGCCCACGCGCCUAGAGCCCAUACUCCGCAACAAGAGAAGCCACCACAAUGAGAAACCUGCGCACCGCAACGAAGAGUAGCCCCCACUCGCCGCAACUAGAGAAAGGCCGCGCACAGCAACGAAGAUCCAGUGCAGCCAAAAAUAAAUAAAUUAAUUAAUUAAUUAAAAAAUAAAGAAAGUCACUGGAGA